UUUCAUAUUGCUCAUGUUUUAUUUUGUUGCACAAUAUAUGGUUUAGCUUAUGUAACUCUUAAACUCGUUCGCACACUUAAAAUGCUUUUCAAAUUCUGUUUACCUCUAUUUGUUAUUGCCCUUACUUUUUGAAUGAUUCUUUGUGAAUGAUUCUUUAACUUGCAGCUUCUUUCUUUGUGAUUGAUAGCCUAUUAUCAAAUUUUGCCAUGCCCUGCUACACUUUCUGCUUGAUGACUAUGUUUCUUC
rnacentral:lncRNA from 1 species